rnacentral:rRNA from 1 species
CCUACGGGAGGCAGCAGUGAGGAAUAUUGGUCAAUGGACGAGAGUCUGAACCAGCCAAGUAGCGUGAAGGAUGACGGCCCUAUGGGUUGUAAACUUCUUUUAUAAGGGAAUAAAACGAGGCACGUGUGCCUUUUUGCAUGUACUUUAUGAAUAAGGAUCGGCUAACUCCGUGCCAGCAGCCGCGGUAAUACGGAGGAUCCGAGCGUUAUCCGGAUUUAUUGGGUUUAAAGGGGGCGUAGAUGGGUUGUUAAGUCAGUGGUGAAAGUUUGCGGCUCAACCGUAAAAUUGCCUUUGAAACUGGCAGUCUUGAGUACAUUUGAGGUAGGCGGAAUGCGUGGUGUAGCGGUGAAAUGCUUAGAUAUCACGCAGAACCCCGAUUGCGAAGGCAGCUUACUAAGCUAUGACUGACAUUGAUGCACGAAAGCGUGGGUAUCAAACAGGAUUAGAUACCCUUGUAGUC